GAAACGAUGAUGAACCAGCCAGACAGCCCGCCCGCCACCCGGCCGAGCUGUACUUGGUGUAUGCCAACAUGCUGACAUGCUAAAAUUUGUUAGCACUUCAAGAUCUUAUAAUGGAAAAUUGUAUCCAAACUGAAGUAUAAACCACAAAGGAAUUUUCAAGGACAAUUAAGAACCAGUGCUGGUCAAAAUGUGGUCUCCAGUGGUUUUCCAUACCGGUUCUCGGCAAGGAUUUCCGAGAAAGGAAUACCGUCUCCAAAUCAUGAUGUGCCAAUAAGCUCCAGUUAGCUGCGGCUUCCCCCCCCCCCCGGCGGUAGUCCUGCAAUCUAAAUCCAGGAGAUGCAGCUCUGAAUCCAAUAUUUCAGAAGAAUGAAGAUUAUAUGUGUUGCAUAUAGCCUGCAUAAAGCCUGAAGUUGAACUAUAGGAGUUUUGAAGUAUGUUUCUGAAAAAAAUGUUGCUUCAAUAGACUCAAGACCACACUUAUCUGUCCCUGUUGACCAAGAUCCGGAUGUGAAUACAGAAAAAAGAGUGCUUGUGUUCAAGUAUCAUUAUUUUAUUAAAGUUGAAUGAAAGAGAAGAAACAGGUGGCAUAGAGCUUAACAUAAUUUGACACUGUAUUGCAAAAACUGAUAGUUUUCGGUGUAAAAAUUGGAAAAAUCAUUGCCUGUGGAACUAGGAAAAUUGCUUACAUGUAUUAAAAUGUAUUGUGAAUCUGGUUACAGGCAGUGUUUGCCUUAUUUCUAAACGACAUUUCCAACAAAAUGACAGCUGAUGUAAACAAACAAUAUUUGAAAGUUGUGUUAUGGUAAAAAUCUUAUAUAUGUAUAUAAAUGUAACUGUGUUCGGUAUAACAAAAUAAAUAUUGCAUGGCUUCCAGUGUGACAGUACAUAUUGUCAACAUUCGGGUAAAUACUGUACUGUCAAGCUGGAAGCCAUGCAAUAUUUAUAUAAUGUCAUAUCUUGGGAUAGUACUCAGAAUAAAAACAUCAAGAAGACUUUAUAUCAAAGUAAUAACACUGUUUUUGUCAUAGUUUAGCGAUAGAGUUUCUAUCCUAUUUUUAUCAGAAAUUAAACAGCUUUUUAUGUAAUUUAUUUUCUGACAUGUGUGAUACCUGUUUUUUUUCAUUUAUUGUGAUAUCUGAUGUUAAAGCUGCACUCUCACAGAUUAACGUUUUGACAACUUUUUUUUUAUUUUUUUGUCUUUGAACGAACAAGUUUUUGCGUAAAUAUCUGCAGAAAUGAUAAAAGACUUCUGACAAAAGAUCAGA